AAGCCCGUAGUUGCUGGCUUCCAGCUUUGACGACAUGUAGUGCCGAAAUUUCAUAAUGCUGGGGUCCGGGGUUCAAGUCCCUGCGUAGCCACCA
rnacentral:tRNA from 1 species